rnacentral:lncRNA from 1 species
AUUAAAUGGAAUCAUGUCAUACUACCUUUUUUUGUUGGAUUGAUUUAAUUUAGCAUACUUUUAAUAUAUUUCACAUAUAUCAACUUGUUUAAAAUAACAAUUUAACAUAUAGUAAAUAAAAAUAUUGAAAUACUGUGCAUUCUUUUUACAUAAGUAUUUAAUAUGUAGACUAUAUCAUCCACUUACAGCCAGAACAUCACAUUGCUAUUAGAAAUAAUUUUUAGAUUUUUUUUUAUAACUUUCACACCUGAAAAAAGGGUUCAUGUACUUAAAAUGUAUUCAACAAACAUAAAGUUUUUCAAUAGCUGACCUUAUGUCAGCUUAAUAUAAAUUAUUAUAUUAAUGGAAAUAAAAUUUCGACUUCUCACUUCUCUUAGCCGUGAUUCCAGAAAGGGGCCUUUGUUGAAUCUGUAUUUGGCUACACCAAUAGAAGAAAGCCAGUCAACAUCAUGUUGUGAUCGUCCCUGGCUCUUUUCUUCCGAGCUGUUUAUGAAGCAGGGAUCUCACAGGAAGCUGGGCUGUAAAGUUCUGGGCAGAGAUCUUGGAUGUGAGUCAUGGAAAUGAACCUGAACUGAGAGUUGCUUUCCAAAGACUAUCUCACCACUGGGAUUCAGGCUGAACAAAGGAGUUAGAUUCAAGUCCUUUCUCCUGAACUGUGCUGACCACACCUUUCAUACCAAGAUACGUUGAUUGCACCCAGAGACCAAAGGACACCGUGAUUUGAUCCCCUGAGCUGAAUGCUUUCCAUGUUCCAGGCAGUGUGACAGUGUCUCUCACGUGAGAAAGACAGGGUCUCUAUUAUGUAGCUCUGGAUGUCCUGAAACUUGCUAUUGAGACCAGGCUGGCCUAGACCUUGUGGAUAUCUACCUGUCUCUGUUUCCUGAUCACUGAUAUUAAAGGUGUGUGCUACCA